GUCAGAGGUAGAUAGAAGACGUGGUCAGUAGAGUCAGAGAAAGAAGAUGUGGUCAGUAGUGUCAGAGAUAUAAGAUGUGGUCAGUAGUGUCAGAGAUAUAAGACGUGGUCAGUAGAGU